AGAGUUUGAUCCUGGCUCAGGACGAACGCUGGCGGCGUGCCUAAUACAUGCAAGUCGAACGCUUCUUUUCUACCGAGUGCUUGCACUCACUUGAAAAGAGGAGUGGCAGACGGGUGAGUAACACGUGGGUAACCUACCCAUCAGAGGGGGAUAACACUUGGAAACAGGUGCUAAUACCGCAUAAUAGUCGACAUCGCAUGGUGUUGAUUUGAAAGACGCUUUCGGGUGUCACUGAUGGAUGGACCCGCGGUGCAUUAGCUAGUUGGUGAGGUAACGGCUCACCAAGGCCAUGAUGCAUAGCCGACCUGAGAGGGUGAUCGGCCACACUGGGACUGAGACACGGCCCAGACUCCUACGGGAGGCAGCAGUAGGGAAUCUUCGGCAAUGGACGAAAGUCUGACCGAGCAACGCCGCGUGAGUGAAGAAGGUUUUCGGAUCGUAAAACUCUGUUGUUAGAGAAGAACAAGUAGGAGAGUAACUGCUCUUACCUUGACGGUAUCUAACCAGAAAGCCACGGCUAACUACGUGCCAGCAGCCGCGGUAAUACGUAGGUGGCAAGCGUUGUCCGGAUUUAUUGGGCGUAAAGCGAGCGCAGGCGGUUUCUUAAGUCUGAUGUGAAAGCCCCCGGCUCACCCGGGGGAGGGUCAUUGGAAACUGGGAGACUUGAGUGCAGAAGAGGAGAGUGGAAUUCCAUGGUGUAGCGGUGAAAUGCGUAGAUUAAUAUGGAGGAACACCAGGUGGGCGAAGCGACUCUCUGGUCUGUAACUGACGCUGAGCUCGAAAGCGUGGGGAGCAACAGGAUUAGAUACCCUGGUAGUC
rnacentral:rRNA from 1 species